rnacentral:tRNA from 1 species
GGGUUGUUAGCUCAGCUGGCAGAGCAGCCGCCUCUUAAGCGGAAGUGCAUAGGUACCCUGCGGGAAGGCUUACGCCUACAAGUCCUAUACAGCCCACCA